AAAUCGAGGCAGGUCAGACGCUUUCAAAGAGCUACUCCACCUGGAUCAUUGCGAGGAAGUCCGGCGAAGUCCAGAGUGGGCAUUGUACCUGCAUGGCAGGGCCGAUCCACAACCAGUAGCUCAGUGCGAUUUCUUGAAACCUGGCAAAAAGAUCAAGCUACCAGCUCCCCUCUGCCUUCCCUCUCUAAAUCCAGAUGGGUCACCAAAAAAGCUUUUUAAAGCCCUGAAAAUGCUGGUACAUGAAGACGGACACAUUUGUUGGCAAAAUAUUCAGGAAAAUUUAAGCCUCUAU